rnacentral:misc_RNA from 1 species
GUAGGUGAACCUGCGGAAGGAUCAUUACCGAAUUGUCAACGAGUUGUUGCUGGUCCUCAAACGGGGGCAUGUGCACGCUCUGUUUGCACAUCCACUCACACCUGUGCACCCUCCGUAGUUCUCCGGCCUGGGGGGUUCUGUCCCCCCUUGCUGUGGUUCUAUGUAUUUACACACACACACGCUGUAAUAAAGUCUCAUGGAAUGUAUGCCGCGUUUAACGCAAUACAAUACAACUUUCAGCAACGGAUCU